AUGCAGGUUUCCACAACUGACACAAACCGUGCAACUUGAAACCCCGCCUGGUCUUUCCAGGUCUAGAGGGGCGACAUUUUGUACUGUGCUUGACUCCACGCUCGGUCCACUAGCGAGUGUUAGUAGUAGCACUGUUGCUUCGUAGCGGAGCAUGAUGGCCGUGGGAGCUCCCCCUUGGUAACAAGGACCCACGGGGCCAAAAGCCACGUCCUACCGGACCCAUCAUGUGUGCAAACCCAGCACGGCAACUUUACUGCGAAAACCACUUUAAGGUGACACUGAUACUGGUACUCAAUCACUGGUGACAGGCUAAGGAUGCCCUUCAGGUACCCCGAGGUAACACGCGACACUCGGGAUCUGAGAAGGGGACUGGGGCUUCUUUAAAAGUGCCCAGUUUAAAAAGCUUCUAUGCCUGAAUAGGCGACCGGAGGCCGGCGCCUUUUCACUGUUUUACUACUGUUUU
rnacentral:other from 19 species